rnacentral:snRNA from 1 species
AUACUUACCUGGCAGGGAAGAUACCAUGAUGAUGAAGGUGGUUUUCCCAGGAUGAGGCUUAUCCAUUGCACUCUGGAUGUGCUGACUCCUGUAAUUUCCCCAAAUGUAGGAAACUCAUCUGCAUAAUUUGUGGUAGUGGGCAACGGCACUCGUGCUCUCCCCUG